AGUUAAAAUUUUCAUCAAUUUUUAUUGCUAAAAACUAGUGUGGUUGAUGGAAUAACCAGACAGUCAUACAUGGCAUGCUAUGUUUACCUCAUGUCGAUGUACAAUACUAGUUUUUAAGAGUAAAAUGAAUGGAAUUUUUAAUA
rnacentral:pre_miRNA from 1 species